rnacentral:lncRNA from 1 species
AGGGCCUCGGGCUACAACACAGUCGCUUGUCCUGUCUUGUCCCCGUGAUGGGCCCCGUUCGCUCCCCAUCCCUGGCCAAAGUUCGGUCCUGAUCUCUCCCAGUUUUUUGAUGGCGGCUUGUUUAUUUUCCCUAGAACUCUGGCUCUAGCCUCGCUAAGAGUGUCCGAGCUGGGAGCCGGCGAUCUGGAAAUCUAGGUUCAGCACGCCCAGUACAACCCCCUCACUGGACACAAGUUUCCCGGUGCUCGCCGCGUUCCCAGCCACCGCGUCGUCUGCCCGCUCGCCGCGUUCCAAUCGCUCUCAGACCCCUCCCUCACCGCUCUCCUCCCAAGGAAACUUGACCCUCGCCAGCCGCCGUCGCCAAGCCCCGACUUACUCGCUCGUUGUCCAGCUGCUCACCAAGCUCAAACUCCGCACGCCGUUACCCGGGCUCAGGGGGCGGGGCUUCGAUGUGGCAGCUGAGCCUGAGAGGUGACCUAACUUGUCCAAAGUGGCCUGGUUUAUAGUAAGAGGGAAUGAAGGACCUGCCAUCCCGGGGAAUCGUCGUCCUUCCCGCUCCUCUCCUUGGAUGAUUUACUGCUAAAUUCUAGCACAACUGUCUCCUUGUCUGUCACUCAGACGUCACCACCACCACCCCUGUCUGUCACUGUCACUCAGAUGUUCACCACCACCGCCCCUGACUGUCACGUGAAGGGUUUUUUUUUUUUUCAUACC